ACUCGAUUAAAAAUUAGUUCAUGGAUCCAAACACCCCCUUGGAACUAUCGAGAACAAUCUCUAACUGAGAGAGACGUUGGUCGUUUGAGGAGACCUCUUGGAAGGAAAAAAUGCCCCCGCAUGCACCGCACCCGCUCCGCUCGCCAGCAAUGGCACCCCAGCCGGCGCCACCCAAGCUUCUGCGCCGCCCAACCACCCUGUGCAGCAUCACCGUCGCAUCCUGGACAUCCUCCUCCACUGCGAGCAGCCUGCGCACGCCGUGCCUCCUCUCAGAUCUAGAUCUGCGCAGGUAUUUCUCUGAAUCCCCACCACCUCCGCCGGCGACCGGAGGCCCGCCGGCCCGUGCUGCGUCCAUCGUGCCAGACACACCCGAAGAGGUGCAGCGCACCUACGCAGACGUCGUCAAGGCGCACCACGAGGUGCCUCUGCCACCAUAGCCCCAAGGCCACCAAACGACGCGUACCCAGCUUCAAUCUACCAUUAUUGUCUCAGCCAGGAGUAGUUACUAUGCCGUGCAAGCCCGGUGACCUCCACGGCAGGCCGGCAUAUCGCCGGCAUAGCUCGGCGUUGUGCCACUGCACCACGCGCCUCCCGCCGCGGGAUGCAUAGGAGCUGGAGCCAGGUUGGACCUGCGCCCAAGGUCGUCGCCGUUCAAAUCGCCAACCACCUGCCCUGCGGCGAGGUACGGCGCAUUCAAUUCCCGGGUGCCGCCCCACUUCAACCAUCGCCAACACCUCCUCGCCGGCCCUGCAAACUUUUCGACAGAAGACCCAGGCAAGUGUUUCAUUUGCCUCAACUCCCACCACCAUGCGGCGAAUUGCAGAGAUCCGGUCCGCUGCUUCCGGUGUAGGGCACUCGGGCCACAAGGAGCGCCACUGCAAGCAGCCCCCUCGUGCUGCAACCUGGCGGUGCAGGACGCCUAAGCCAGAGAAGCAAGUCUUGCCGCCGCUGUCGCCGAGCGCCGGCGAGGUGCCGCCGCCUCCUCCACCCCAAGCUGAAGGUGACGUCCUGCUGCAAGUCGGAGACGUGGCUAUUUUCCCCCGAGAAGGAGGACUGCGUCAUCCCCACCUCCUACGCCAUUGAUGCUGAUCUGCACGAGUGGGAACGCACCGCUCUGGUGUCUUGGGCCAUGCGUGCGCCGCCGGGACCGAGGCGGCCGAUGUCGCCGCGGCCAUCCGCGAUGAGUUCCGCCUGCGGCAAGAUGAGGUCAUCAUCACCAACCACCACCAGGAGGCCUUCCUCAUCAAGUUCAAGCACAACAAGCAGUGGCGGAGGCAGCCAAGCGCGGCUACGCCAAGAGGCAGGGGGUGGAGAUCCACUUCAUCAAGUGGCGGAGCCUCAACCAUGCGUUGGGCGUGAUGUUGCUGUACAGGGUGCGCCUGUGCCUCGACGGUGUUAUGGGGCACACCUGGACGGAGGACAUCGCCGAGAAGAUCAUCAAUCCGAGUACCAUCUCCAAGAAGGUGUGGCUCACCUUCACAAGUUGGGCGAAGGACAAGCAGUUGGCCUCUGUUCUGGUGGCUGUGAUGCCGUCGGAGCAUUGGUAGCACGGGUGCAAGUACUGCGUGUACGUACAGCUGGAUGGGAUCCAUGAUUACACGCGAGCGACGGUGGAUCAAGACAGCGCGACCCCAGCCAAGCGCUAGCUUCCCCAUGGCACCUUGGGGUGGCUGAUGGAGCGGAGGUUCCAAGCCAUCUUUUCGAGGCGUUCCCGCAUCACCCUCCCCCGCUGUCGCGGUCCUACCAGCUCAGGAGGAGCAAGGGCCAGGACGGCGAGGAACAGGACGAACGCAAGGGCAAGGACAAGGAGGAGCGCAGCCGCCGGGGAUACAACAAUGAUCACCCGGGGGCUGACAAGGGCCACUACCGGAAGAGGCCGGAGGACGACGACGAUGAUGACCUUGGUGGCUGAGGAAGAUCGCGCGACAGGCGUCCCCAGCAUGGUUACAACGCCGGGGCGCGCCGCCGGCGCAGGAAAGGAACAGCGCGGCGGCCGCAUAGGAGAGCACAUCGGCGGCGGUCGGCCAGCGCUGAGCGGCGGCCAGCUCCGGGCCUAGAUGUGGCACCGGCACAUCGGCUGCGGCCUAGGGUGCUGCCGACGGCACCGCCCUUCUCUCCAUCGACGACAGCAACCGUGGCAGGCUGGAUCGGCGCCCCUUCAUUCAUCGGCGGUUCCCGUAUCCAGAAGUCCUCACCAGUGCCACCAUCCUCGAUGAGGAGCUUGGUGGUAUGCAGCUGCUAAUGGAAGCCUCCGAUUUCUCCUCCAGUACGGUAAAAUUGAGUAUGAAUCUCAUGCACACCGCCUCAAUUGAGAAGAUGGAAUCAAUGAAAAUUUAUCAAUUGAGAAGAUGGAAUCAAUGAAGAUUGCCCAUCUUGCAGCGAGAAGGAGCAGAAAGAGGCCAAAUUGUUAGAGAUUAUAACCAUGUCCUGUUGAAGGACGUUGCACAAAAAUGUCAGAUGAAGAAAAGGUCGAAACCUGCGUCUGUGAUCUUAUCUGACUAACAUUUGCUAGCUAUUCUGAGUUAGUGGGAAAAUGCAAUUGUCAUCCUUUGGAGUGUAGGAGGUCUGAUCAAUACACAAGGAAAAAAAAACUUUGAACGGACUCAAGGAAAAUGAUCUUACUUGAUGGUUGAUUGCUGGUCCAUAGGUUCUUCAUGCUGUCAUUCUAAUUUAGCUAAUGUUCUGAACUAUCUAGUGCGAACAGAAAAUCUUUCAACGCCAUCUAAUGUUCUGAACCUAUCUUGUGUGAACAGCAAAGCUUUGGUUAGGAACUACUUGGAGAUGUUAUUUUGAGAAAGAUGUCAGUUUGUGUUAUCUGCAAUAUGCUGUCGGUGUGAGGAAGCUGAGGCACAGGACGAUGACGGCUUGCCAGUCUUGUGAUUCUUGAAGGGAGAAGAGGCAUUGCCUUGCAAUUUCUUUUCUUGCUGAAUUUUGUUGCUAUUGAUUGGAGCUUAUGCGAGUUAAUCUUUUACGAGUUGAUCUAUGUAUCCGUGAGUUGAUUCAUGACGUAAUUUUUAUAAACAUUCUAUUUAUGUUCA